rnacentral:rRNA from 1 species
AGAGUUUGAUCAUGGCUCAGGAUGAACGCUGGCGGUAUGCCUAACACAUGCAAGUCGAACGAUGUCUUCGGACAUAGUGGCGGACGGGUGAGUAACGCGUGAGAAUCUGCCUCUAGGAUGGGGAUAACGGUUGGAAACGACCGCUAACACCCAAUAUGCCGUAAGGUGAAAAAUUUAUUGCCUGGAGAGGAGCUCGCGUCUGAUUAGCUAGUUGGUGGGGUAAGAGCUCACCAAGGCUUCGAUCAGUAGCUGGUCUGAGAGGAUGAGCAGCCACACUGGGACUGAGACACGGCCCAGACUCCUACGGGAGGCAGCAGUGGGGAAUUUUCCGCAAUGGGCGAAAGCCUGACGGAGCAAUACCGCGUGAGGGAGGAAUGCCUUUGGGUUGUAAACCUCUUUUCUCAGGGAAGAAGAUCUGACGGUACCUGAGGAAUAAGUAUCGGCUAACUCCGUGCCAGCAGCCGCGGUAAUACGGAGGAUGCAAGCGUUAUCCGGAAUCAUUGGGCGUAAAGCGUCCGCAGGUGGUUUCCAAAGUCUGCUGUUAAAGACUGGAGCUCAACUCCGGAACGGCGGUGGAAACUUGGAAACUAGAGUUCGGUAGGGGUAGCAGGAAUUCCCAGUGUAGCGGUGAAAUGCGUAGAUAUUGGGAAGAACAUCGGUGGCGAANGCGUGCUACUGGACCGUAACUGACACUCAGGGACGAAAGCUAGGGGAGCGAAAGGGAUUAGAUACCCCUGUAGUCCUAGCUGUAAACGAUGGAAACUAGGUGUGGCUUGUAUCGACCCGAGCCGUGCCGUAGCUNACGCGUUAAGUUUCCCGCCUGGGGAGUACGCACGCAAGUGUGAAACUCAAAGGAAUUG